CCCCGGUCACAGCACAGCGACAGGAGGAAGAGGGCCAGGAUGCGCACCUGGGGCGCCAUGCCGACGGAAAACCUGCAGUGGAGAGAGAGAGUCGGUGAGGAGAAGAGCGUGUUUACUGUGGGAAGCACUUCACUGUCGAGUGUCUCAGUGAGGAGGUGCACAGUGGGCGGUGAGGAGGGAUGUGUCAGUGAGGAGGUGUACGAUGAGCGAUGAGGAGGGAUAUGUCAGUGAGGAGGUGCACAGCGUUGAGGAGGGAUUUGUCAGUGAGGAGGUGCAUGAUGAGAGGUGAGGAGGGAUGAUUCUGUGAGGAGGUGCACGGAGGUGAGGAGGGAUGUGUCAGUAAGGAGAUGCACGGCGGUAAGCAAGGAUGUGUCAGUGAGCAGGAAUGGCUUGGAAACAAAGGGCAUGUCAGUGAGGAGUUCAGCUGAGGUGCAGGAGCAUUCCUGGGAUUCUUCCCUACUCUUUGAGUACAGGAGCACAGCCAGGGAAACACAGUGAACUGCGUGUGAAGAGCACCAAAAUCACUCUGGUUUUACUGACCAAGUUAAGAGAGCAUUAUGAAUUUGACCACGAUGCAAACUUUUGGUCUUUG